rnacentral:rRNA from 1 species
GAGGAGGAGGCUCCUUUAGUUAAUACCUAAAGUGAGUGGACGUUACUCGCAGAAUAAGCACCGGCUAACUCUGUGCCAGCAGCCGCGGUAAUACAGAGGGUGCGAGCGUUAAUCGGAUUUACUGGGCGUAAAGCGUGCGUAGGCGGCUUUUUAAGUCGGAUGUGAAAUCCCUGAGCUUAACUUAGGAAUUGCAUUCGAUACUGGAAAGCUAGAGUAUGGGAGAGGAUGGUAGAAUUCCAGGUGUAGCGGUGAAAUGCGUAGAGAUCUGGAGGAAUACCGAUGGCGAAGGCAGCCAUCUGGCCUAAUACUGACGCUGAGGUACGAAAGCAUGGGGAGCAAACAGGAUUAGAUACCCUGGUAGUCCAUGCCGUAAACGAUGUCUACUAGCCGUUGGGGCCUUUGAGGCUUUAGUGGCGCAGCUAACGCGAUAAGUAGACCGCCUGGGGAGUACGGUCGCAAGACUAAAACUCAAAUGAAUUGACGGGGGCCCGCACAAGCGGUGGAGCAUGUGGUUUAAUUCGAUGCAACGCGAAGAACCUUACCUGGCCUUGACAUACUAAGAACUUUCCAGAGAUGGAUUGGUGCCUUCGGGAACUUAGAUACAGGUGCUGCAUGGCUGUCGUCAGCUCGUGUCGUGAGAUGUUGGGUUAAGUCCCGCAACGAGCGCAACCCUUUUCCUUAUUUGCCAGCGGGUCAUGCCGGGAACUUUAAGGAUACUGCCAGUGACAAACUGGAGGAAGGCGGGGACGACGUCAAGUCAUCAUGGCCCUUACGGCCAGGGCUACACACGUGCUACAAUGGUCGGUACAAAGGGUUGCUACCUCGCGAGAGGAUGCUAAUCUCAAAAAGCCGAUCGUAGUCCGGAUCGCAGUCUGCAACUCGACUGCGUGAAGUCGGAAUCGCUAGUAAUCGCGGAUCAGAAUGCCGCGGUGAAUACGUUCCCGGGCCUUGUACACACCGCCCGUCACACCAUGGGAGUUUGUUGCACCAGAAGUAGGUAGUCUAACCGCAAGGAGGACGCUUACCACGGUGUGGCAGAUGACUGGGGUGAAGUCGUAACAAGGUAGCCGUAGGGGAACCUGCGGCUGGAUCACCU